AUGGAAAAAACUAGAGAGUUCCAGAAAAACAUCUAUUUCUGCUUUAUUGACUAUGCCAAAGCCUUUGACUGUGUGGAUCACAAUAAACUGUGGAAAAUUCUGAAAGAGAUGGGAAUACCAGACCACCUGACCUGCCUCUUGAGAAAUCUGUAUGCAGGUCAGGAAGCAGCAGUUAGAACUGGACAUGGAACAACAGACUGGUUCCAAAUAGGAAAAGGAGUACAUCAAGGCUGUAUAUUGUCACCGUGCUUAUUUAACUUAUAUGCAGAGUACAUCAUGAGAAAUGCUGGGCUGGAAGAAACACAAGCUGGAAUCAACAUUGCCAGGAGAAAUAUCAAUAACCUCAGAUAUGCAGAUGACACCACCCUUAUGGCAGAAAGUGAAGAGGAAUUAAAGAGCCUCUUGAUGAAAGUGAAAGUGGAGAGUAAAAAAGUUGGCUUAAAGCUCAACAUUCAGAAAACGAAGAUCAUGUCAUCCGGUCCCAUCACUUCAUGGGAAAUAGAUGGGGAAACAGUGGAAACAGUAUCAGACUUUAUUUUUCUGGGCUCCAAAAUCACUGCAGAUGGUGACUGCAGCCAUGAAAUUAAAAGACACUUACUCCUUGGAAGAAAAGUUAUGAGCAACCUAGAUAGCAUAUUCAAAAGCAGGGACAUUACUUUGCCGACUAAGGUCCGUCUAGUCAAGGCUAUGGUUUUUCCAGUGGUCAUGUAUGGAUGUGAGAGUUGGACUGUGAAGAAGGCUGAGCACCGAAGAAUUGAUGCUUUUGAACUGUGGUGUAGGAGAAGACUCUUGAGAGUCCCUUGGACUGCAAGGAGAUCCAACCAGUCCAUUCUGAAGGAGAUCAACCCUGGGAUUUCUUUGAAGGGAAUGAUGCUAAAGCUGAAACUCCAGUACUUUGGCCGCCUCAUGCAAAGUGUUGACUCAUUGGAAAAGACUCUGAUGCUGGGAGGGAUUAGGGGCAGUAGGAGAAGGGCACGAUUGAGGAUGAGAUGGCUGGAUGGCAUCACUGACUCGAUGGGCAUGAGUCUGAGUGAACUCCGAGAGUUGGUGAUGGACAGGGAGGCCUGGUGUGCUGCAAUUCAUGGGGUCACAAAGAGUCGGACAUGA
rnacentral:lncRNA from 1 species